UACGUAGGGGGCUAGCGUUGUCCGGAUUUAUUGGGCGUAAAGAGCGUGUAGGCGGUUUGGUAGGUCCGCUGUGAAAACUCGAGGCUCAACCUCGAGACGCCGGUGGAAACCAUCAGGCUAGAGUCCGGAAGAGGAGAGUGGAAUUCCUGGUGUAGCGGUGAAAUGCGCAGAUAUCAGGAAGAACACCCGUGGCUAAGGCGGCUCUCUAGUACGGUACUGACGCUGAGACGCGAAAGCGUGGGGAGCGAACAGG
rnacentral:rRNA from 1 species